UACGUAGGUGGCAAGCGUUGUCCGGAAUUAUUGGGCGUAAAGCGCGCGCAGGCGGUCCUUUAAGUCUGAUGUGAAAGCCCACGGCUCAACCGUGGAGGGUCAUUGGAAACUGGGGGGACUUGAGUGCAGAAGAGGAAAGCGGAAUUCCACGUGUAGCGGUGAAAUGCGUAGAGAUGUGGAGGAACACCAGUGGCGAAGGCGGCUUUCUGGUCUGUAACUGACGCUGAGGCGCGAAAAGCGUGGGGGAGCAAACAGG
rnacentral:rRNA from 1 species